rnacentral:rRNA from 1 species
AUUGAACGCUGGCGGCAGGCCUAACACAUGCAAGUCGAGCGAGCGGCGGACGGGUGAGGAAUGGCAGGGAAACUGCCUGAUGGAGGGGGCUAACGGCUGGAGACGGUAGCUAAUACCGCAUACAAUUGGACGUGCGCAGAUGGGAUUAGCUAGUGGGUGGGGUAACGGCCCACCCAGGGGACGGUCCCUAGCGGGGCUGAGAGGAUGACCAGUCACACUGGAACUGAGACACGGUCCAGACUCCUACGGGAGGCAGCAGUGGGGAAUAUUGCACAAUGGGCGCAAGCCUGAUGCAGCCAUGCCGCGUGUGUGAAGAAGGUCUUCGGGUUGUAAAGCACUUUCAGCUGGGAGGCGUUACCCGCAGAAGAAGCACCGGCUAACUCCGUGCCAGCAGCCGCGGUAAUAC